AUUCCAGCUCCAAUAGCGUAUAUUAAAGUUGUUGCAGUUAAAAAGCUCGUAGUUGAAUUUUUGCUUGCCCCCGAUGUCCGUUAUUUCGGUACGUUCGGGGGCGUGCAUCCUUGGGUGGAACCUGUGUGGCAUUAGGUUGUCGUGCAGGGGAUGCUCAUCGUUUACUGUGAAAAAAUUAGAGUGUUCAAAGCAGGCUUACGCCGUUGAAUAUAUUAGCAUGGAAUAAUAAGAUAGGACCUUGGUACUAUUUUGUUGGUUUGCGCACCGAGGUAAUGAUUAACAGGGACAGUUGGGGGUAUUCGUAUUCCAUUGUCAGAGGUGAAAUUCUUGGAUUAACGGAAGAUGAACUUCUGCGAAAGCAUCUGCCAAGGAUGUUUUCAUCG
rnacentral:rRNA from 1 species